GACAGAAGAUCCCCAUACUUCCUUCCAUUGUAGGUGCCCUACUCUCUAAAUCUAGAAAAAAAAAUGCUUCCUAUCUUUUCCCUGAGGAUUUCCAAGAGAAAGCAAAUGAUAGGCAGCAGCCUUUGGUAUUUUCCAGCAUCUCCUUGCAACAGGAAGAUCUUCUUAUUAUCUAACCCAGAUCUGCAAAGUUGAACCAGUUCCUUCUUAUUCAAAUUUUGAAUGUUGGUAGACAUUAAAAUUAAGCACCUCUGUGCUUUUAUAAAGAGAAAAACUAUAUUUGACUUUAGAUGGGAAGUAACUUAACAAGUCUCUUAGCCUUUUCUGGGACUGAGCUGAAUAUUGUGACUUGAUUCAUUAACUACCAUAAAGACUGUUUUUCAUGAUUGCAGCAGAAUACAACAGACACUAGUAUGGCAAUAUGUAAAUCAAUGGAUGUGUAACUGAUGUGAUUCUGCAAUCUGUAUACGGGGUAAAAAUGGGAGUUCAUAACCCACUUGAAUCAAAGUGUGAAAUAUGAUAUAUCAAGAACUAUGUAAUGUUUUGAACAACCAACAAUAAAAAUUUAAAAAAAAAAAAGAGCCCUCAUUUGAAGUGGGCAUGAUGGCACAUACCUAUAACUCCAGCUAUUCAGAAGCUAAGGCAAUACAUAUGUGCGCUUGCACAUGUGCACAUAUGUGUACACACACACACACACACUCACACAAGCAAUGACUUGUCUCAUUCUGUCCCAAUUUUCUCUUUUGUCCUCCCUGUUGCUGGAUCGGCCCUCUCUGACUUGGUGGGAUCAACCACAGGCGUAGCUCAACUGUGAGGAAACAGGUAAGAGCCCCGCAGAGGCCAGGCUGGCCUGGCAUGACAAUUGAGUAUAUCCCACAGGCAAUUGUGAAGCUCCAUGUGGACAGGACAGACACUUCUCUGACUUUAUGCC
rnacentral:lncRNA from 1 species